rnacentral:tRNA from 1 species
GGUGAUGUGGCUCAGUGAUAGAACGUCUGCUUGGCAUGCAGAAGGCCCCAAGUUCAGUCCCUGGCAUCUCCA